CCUGAACGCUGGUGGCGUGGCUAAGACAUGCAAGUCGCACGGUGUAGCAAUACACAGUGGCGAACGGGUGAGUAAUGAAUCGCUAAUGUACCCCGGACUCUGGGAUAGCUAGCCGAAAGGUUAGGUAAUACCAGAUGAUAUAUCUUUAUCGCAUGAUAGAGAUCUCAAAGGUCCGCCGGUCUGGGAGCAGGCGAUUUCGUAUCAGCUAGUUGGNGAGGUACGGCUCACCAAGGCGACGACGCGUAGCCGGACUGAGGAGGGUU
rnacentral:rRNA from 1 species